rnacentral:rRNA from 1 species
GCCUUGCUGAAUUAUUCACCCUUGUCUUUUGCGUACUUCUUGUUUCCUUGGUGGGUUCGCCCACCACUAGGACAAACAUAAACCUUUUGUAAUUGCAAUCAGCGUCAGUAACAAAUUAAUAAUUACAACUUUCAACAACGGAUCUCUUGGUUCUGGCAUCGAUGAAGAACGCAGCGAAAUGCGAUAAGUAGUGUGAAUUGCAGAAUUCAGUGAAUCAUCGAAUCUUUGAACGCACAUUGCGCCCUUUGGUAUUCCAAAGGGCAUGCCUGUUCGAGCGUCAUUUGUACCCUCAAGCUUUGCUUGGUGUUGGGCGUCUUGUCUCUAGCUUUGCUGGAGACUCGCCUUAAAGUAAUUGGCAGCCGGCCUACUGGUUUCGGAGCGCAGCACAAGUCGCACUCUCUAUCAGCAAAGGUCUAGCAUCCAUUAAGCCUUUUUUUCAACUUUUGACCUCGGAUCAGGUAGGGAUACCCGCUGA